GUAGGGAAUAUUGGGCAAUGGGUGCAAGCCUGACCCAGCCAUCCCGCGUGCCGGAUGAAGGCCCUCUGGGUCGUAAACGGCUUUUGACGGUGAAGAACCGAAAGGGUGCGCCCUUUUUUGACGGUAGCCGUUGAAUAAGCACCGGCUAACUCCGUGCCAGCAGCCGCGGUAAUACGGAGGGUGCGAGCGUUGUCCGGAUUUAUUGGGUUUAAAGGGUGCGUAGGCUGGAGGGACAGUCAGCGGUGAAAAGCAGUUGCUCAACAAUUGUCUUGCCGCAGAUACUACCUUUCUUGGAUGAGGAGGAGGCCACUGGAACGGAUGGUGUAGCGGUGAAAUGCAUAGAUAUCAUCCAGAACACCGAUUGCGAAGGCAGGUGGCUGUACCUUAAUCGACGCUGAUGCACGAAAGCAUGGGGAGCAAACAGGAUUAGAAACCCCAGUAGUCC
rnacentral:rRNA from 1 species